CCAGCUUUCCUUCUGCCUUAGUCACAGCCCCAGUUAACAACUGCAUACAAGGGAGUCUGAGCAUCACCCCAGAUCUGUACACAUGAAAGAAAAAAAGAAAAGCAGGAAGGAGAACCCAUACUACCUCCAUAGUUCUAAAUCACAACAAGACAUUUCUUGGCACAGCGUUUGAGCCAAGGGCCUCACCAUAGAUCUGGAACAGGAGGAGGAUGUGAGUCACACCAGUAUUUGAUGAAUUGAUGAUUAAGACUUGUCUUAACUCCUGAUUAAGACACUGACCUUGUUCUAGGUAUCUCUCUUAGGCAUUAAGAUAUUUAAUCAUGGCUUUGCUUCUGUAGAGGCAGUUUUUGAUAUUCUCGUUUGUACAGGAUGGUUUACCCUCUGUGAGCAGUCCUGCUGAUUUUUGUGGAGCCACUCAAGGAAAAGGUACUUGGUGGCAUAAGGCUGGGACGUAAAAGUCAUCCAGUUAUUACGUGUACUCCCUGUGGUAAAAAAAAAAUCACUAUUUACUUUUGUCACAGAUUUUGUCAUCAAUGUGACAAAAAAUAUUAAAAUACUAAAUCUGUAAUCAGG
rnacentral:lncRNA from 1 species